rnacentral:lncRNA from 1 species
GGCGUCUCAGUCUACUGUCAGAGAUCAACCGAUGGAUCGGAUCACCUGGAUGUUGAGCCAUCCACAUGCAAACCAAGGAAGGAGAGUGUGAGCUCCUGGCUGGAGAAUUCGCUCACAAGGGUGAUGUGAUCAUCUUACGUGUAAAAGAAAACCGAAUUUCACUUCUGGUGGUGACUAUUGUCUGAUUCAUCAUUACAGUAACCACCCAAGGAAACCCUGCCCACAAAAAGCAUUCUUCUGGAGAAGUAACAGUUUUUGGUGACACACAUGAUGGCAACAAUGAACGCUUUGUGGCACGAUGACCUCUAUGAAAAAGAGAGAUAUACAGGUUUUGCUUUUGUUCACUCAACUAAUUACCAACCUUUCAUUAUACCUCUACUCGGACAUCUAAACUUCAGUUAAGCUCUAUGUUUAAGUGGGAUGGAUCUUCAAUUUGCCUACCUAAGGAUUUGAAGUCAGGUUUACAGAGGCAUCAUUUUACAAUUAUCAACUUUGAUAAAUGCAGAUUGUCAUGGAACUACCACCAGAAUCCAGAUAGAGAACAUGCUAUCAUCCCUGUUAUAUCCCUUUGUGGCUAAUCCACCACACUGUUCCAUCCACCAAAGUCCCUAGAAGCCACUGAUCUGUUUUAUGUCCCUCUGGUUUUGUCUUUUUCAAAGUCUGAAAUAAAUGGAAUUGUGGAGUGUGUA